CUUGAGGUGACGUAUCCCCUGCUACCCUCGGGGCAAGAAAAAUAAAUAACUACAAAAAUGAGAUGAAGGAAGGAAGAAUAAGAGUCUGUUGUUAGAUCUAGAGAACUUGAAAUGAGAGUGAUCUAUUAAAACAUUUAUUAGCAAUCUGUCGAAUGCCACAAUAAACAUCUGCAAACCAAUGCGCUUCACUGUUCUAGAGAAGCACAAGUUUAAGAAAUGCC
rnacentral:lncRNA from 1 species